ACAAGCGGUGGAGCAUGUGGUUUAAUUCGAUGAUACGCGAGGAACCUUACCUGGGCUCAAAUGUAUGUUGACGUAUUUCUGAAAGGGAUACUUCUUCGGACAAUAUACAAGGUGCUGCAUGGUUGUCGUCAGCUCGUGCCGUGAGGUGUCGGGUUAAGUCCCAUAACGAGCGCAACCCCUAUCAUUAGUUGCCAUCAGGUCAAGCUGGGGACUCUAAUGAAACUGCCUACGCAAGUAGUGAGGAAGGUGGGGAUGACGUCAAAUCAGCACGGCCCUUACGUCCAGGGCUACACACGUGCUACAAUGGCCGGUACAAAGGGCAGCGAAGGAGCGAUCCGGAGCGAAUCCUAAAAAGCCGGUCCCAGUUCGGAUUGCAGGCUGAAACUCGCCUACAUGAAGUUGGAGUUGCUAGUAAUCGCGAAUCAGAAUGUCGCGGUGAAUGCGUUCCCGGGUCUU
rnacentral:rRNA from 1 species